rnacentral:piRNA from 1 species
UAAAUGUCAUUAUCUAAAGCCUGCA